rnacentral:rRNA from 1 species
UACAGAGGUCUCAAGCGUUGUUCGGAUUCAUUGGGCGUAAAGGGCGCGUAGGCGGCCAUCUAAGUCAGACGUGAAAUCCCCCGGCUUAACCUGGGAACUGCGUCUGAUACUGGACGGCUUGAGUAUGGGAGAGGGAUGUAGAAUUCCAGGUGUAGCGGUGAAAUGCGUAGAUAUUGGGAAGAACACCGGUGGCGAAGGCGGCGACCUGGUCCGAUACUGACGCUGAGGCGCGAAAGCGUGGGGAGCAAACAGG